AAGUAGAAGUCGUAACAAGGUCUCCGUUGGUGAACCAGCGGAGGGAUCAUUA
rnacentral:rRNA from 1 species